AAACACCCUCAGUUUUUUCUUUAUUGAAAAAACUGGACUUGAGUGAUCCCAACGGUCUUUUUUAAAAGGCUGGCGGGUUGCUUGAAAUGCAGGUGCGGCUGGACACAUCUUCUGAGCUAUAAGCAUUACCUAUUUAGUCCCGUCAAACGGAUUAUUUCUAUUGCUACAGCUAAUAUAAAGGUCGAUUGUCCUUGUGCCCGACUGAUGCAGGAAAACAUGGAGAAAUCCUUGUUCA
rnacentral:misc_RNA from 1 species